rnacentral:lncRNA from 1 species
GUGCCUUCUUAUUUUUUUAAAUCGGUUUCAAAACAUCCUUCUAAGUUAUUGCUAAGAUGAAAUUUGAUUCACAGAUCCCAGGAUAACCGCAACUGUAAUAUCUACCUUCCUUUGAAGAAGAUGAAACAGUAACUCUGAAAAGUAUGAUGUGCCCCACUCAUCUCAGUGGGUGCUUCAGUGACAAUAACAACAUUCAAAACAUUAUUUUUUUCCACUGGUCCUCAGAACACAAAGGGAAAAAAAGAUCUCUACAAUUUCUUGCAAGUGACUUCCCAUUCUGGCACCAUGACUGGAACUAA